rnacentral:rRNA from 1 species
GACGAACGCUGGCGGCGUGCCUAACACAUGCAAGUCGAACGGAAAGGCCCUGCUUUUGUGGGCUGCUCGAGUGGCGAACGGGUGAGUAACACGUGAGUAACCUGCCCUUGAUUUUGGGGUAACUUAAGGAAAGUGGGGGUAAUACCGGAUAGGAGCUCCCGCCGCAUGGUGGGGGUUGGAAAGUUUCGGCGGUUGGGGAUGGACUGGCGGCUUAUCAGCUUGUUGGUGGGGUAGUGGCUUACCAAGGCUUUGACGGGUAGCCGACCUGGGAGGGUGACCGGCCACAUUAGGACUGAGGUACGGCCCAGACUCGUACGUGAGGCAGCAGUGGGGAAUAUUGCACAGUGGGCGGAAGCCUGAUGCGACAACGCCGCGUGCGGGAAGACGGCCUGCGGGUUGUAAACCGCUGUCGCCUGAGACGAAGCGUGAGUGACGGUAAUGGGUAAAGAAGCACCGGCUAACUACGCG